AUGCAUAAAUGUACACCGCCUCUCCCACCGUCUGCGCUUAACCCUCUCCCACGCACACAACCACCCUCAUCAUGCUCCAGCCAUCCCCAAAUCAUGAGCAGUCGAACCUCCGCACACCAGCUUUUCGCGCCGCCUCACGUUCUCUUCUUGUAUCUUUAUUCAAGGAGUUAUUUGGUUUUUGUGUUUAGAGAAGAGGAAAUCAAGGAAGGAAGAGACUUAAAAGAGAGAAGAUUUGAGCAAUUUUCUAUCUCUAUGAACAGAAGGUUUUCACUCAUGGGAAUUGAUCUAUCUCUCUCUAUCUCUCUCUU